rnacentral:hammerhead_ribozyme from 1 species
ACCCAGCUGACGAGUCCCAAAUAGGACGAAAUGCGCGUCCUGGAU